AACGUAGGUUCCGAGCGUUAUCCGGAUUUACUGGGCGUAAAGCGCGUUCAGGCGGUUUGACAAGUCGGGCCUGAAAUCUCUCGGCUCAACCGGGAGAGGUUGUCCGAUACUUUCAGACUUGAGGGCAGUAGAGGGUGGUGGAAUUCCGGGUGUAGUGGUGAAAUGCGCAGAUAUCGGGAGGAACACCAAUGGCGAAGGCAGCUUGCUGGGACGGUACUGACGCUGAGACGCGAAAGCGUGGGGAGCAAACAGG
rnacentral:rRNA from 1 species